rnacentral:rRNA from 1 species
AACGAACGCUGGCGGCAGGCUUAACACAUGCGAGUCGAGCGCCCCGCAAGGGGAGCGGCAGACGGGUGAGUAACGCGUGGGAAUCUACCCAUCUCUACGGAAUAACGCAUGGAAACGUGUGCUAAUACCGUAUACGUCCUUCGGGAGAAAGAUUUAUCGGAGAUGGAUGAGCCCGCGUUGGAUUAGCUAGUUGGUGGGGUAAAGGCCUACCAAGGCGACGAUCCAUAGCUGGUCUGAGAGGAUGAUCAGCCACACUGGGACUGAGACACGGCCCAGACUCCUACGGGAGGCAGCAGUGGGGAAUAUUGGACAAUGGGCGCAAGCCUGAUCCAGCCAUGCCGCGUGAGUGAUGAAGGCCCUAGGGUUGUAAAGCUCUUACACCGGUGAAGAUAAUGACGGUAACCGGAGAAGAAGCCCCGGCUAACUUCGUGCCAGCAGCCGCAGUAAAAC